UACGGAGGGGGCUAGCGUUGUUCGGAAUUCCUGGGCGUAAAGCGCACGUAGGCGGCUUUGUAAGUUAGAGGUGAAAGCCCGGGGCUCAACUCCGGAAUUGCCUUUAAGACUGCAUCGCUAGAAUUGUGGAGAGGUAAGUGGAAUUCCGAGUGUAGAGGUGAAAUUCGUAGAUAUUCGGAAGAACACCAGUGGCGAAGGCGGCGCUCUGGACCGAGACUGACGCUGAGGCGCGAAAGCGUGGGGAGCAAACAGG
rnacentral:rRNA from 1 species